UAUGAGCUUUCUCCCUUUGCUUCUGUUUUAAACAACAACUUUUCUUUUUUUUUUUUUUUACUUCAACAAGCAUUUGUUAUUCUGUAACUGCAUUUUAUAUAAGAGGACUAAGUUAGAGCUGCAUCUGUUAUCUCAAUAUUUUAUAUGUCACUCAGUUUAGUUACAAGCAAAACUCCUAUUCAGUUCCUCUUUCUGUCAUUUGUUAUUGGGCCAACUCAAAUUCAGUUAAAAGCUAAAGGAAUUUCAGGCCCUAGGCCUCAAAUCAAUACUGUCCUAAAUCCCACAUUUUCUACUCAUCAAAUGUUCACUAUUUUCCCCAAAGCAUAUCCUUUAUUCCCACAAUUUCCCCGUUAAGUUUGGUGUACAACUUCUUUUUAACCCCAGCAAUUUAUCUUCUAAACAGAAUUUAGUUCAUUUUACUCCUUUCUUUUAACAAGUCCUCAGUUUUACUAUAUCUAGAUUAUCAAACAACCCCAAUCAUUAUAAAAUCCUAGUAAAACCCCUUUCAAAUUAAACAAAUUAAAUCUUAAAUCCCUCUCUUUUUUGACACAUCUCAUGUGGCAAAAAACUCAACAUGCUCCACCCAAGCUUAGGAAAUUAAAAGGAAAAAAAGUUAGUCAUUUCAUUUCUCAGAACAGCUCAGCAAUUCUCCUCUCCGCUGUUCUGAGAAAUGAAAUGACUAACCUUUUUUCCUUUUAAUUUGUUAAGCUUGGGUGGAGCAUGUUGAGUUUUUUGCCACAUGAGAUGUGUCAAAAAAGAGAGGGAUUUAAGAUUUAAUUUGUUUAAUUUGAAAGGGGUUUUACUAGGAUGUUAUAAUGAUUGGGGUUGUUUGAUAAUCUAGAUAUAGUAAAACUGAGGA
ensembl:lncRNA